GUUCACUUUGGCAGCACAUACACAAAGCUGGAAUGAUACAGAUAAGACUACCAUGGCCCCUGAACAAGGAUGACAUGCAAAUUCAUGAAGUGUUCCAUAUCAAA